CCUGGGAAACCGAAACAACGCAAGCAUGCCUGGAAAUGAUAGGUGAGCCCAAACAGCUGCUCAGCAAAAGGGCACCAGAAUCAGGAUGGUUUGGGCACAGGACGGAGUCAUUCCAGAACCACUGGGCCACCUCGUUGCUUCGAUAAAGGCUGUUUGUAAGUGCAUGUGCCCUGUGGUGAAACCUUAAAAAGAAAAGUUUGAAGAACUUAGAAAACAAAAAGUAUGCACUGAACUGCCUGUACCCUCUCAGAUUCUGCAGCCUCUCUCAGAAUCCCUGCCCUCGGAAGCCAGGCACAAUAUCGGGAGGAAGCCAGGCCAUGCUGAGAAGCCACAUGAUAGUGUUCUAGCCAACAGACCCACUGAAGGUCCCAAUUGGAGCCAGCAUCAACCCUCAGAUAUGUGAGCAAAUGGUGUCCAGAUGAAUCCAUCUCAGCUGGGAUCAAGUGGAGCAAAGACAAGCUAAACCUACACAAUCUGGCCAGCUGGCAAAUUCUUGAUCAAAU